rnacentral:misc_RNA from 1 species
AACAUCGAAGUCAAGUAAAAUAUUAAUUAAAAUCAAACUAAAACGAGAGAAAAAUUGAAUCGAAUUAAGCCAAAUGGAUCGGUUUGGAACCAUAUAUUUUAUUUAAUCCUAAAUUCUUAUCAUUUUCAACCAAAAUGAUUUCAUGUAUUUAUACUAGAAGAAAGUAAACACGGCAACAUUCUCAAUUUCCUAGCACCCUUCUCAUAUCAACAAUCAAUAUUCUUAACAAAAAUUGAACAACAAUCAACAUUCUCAACAAAAAUCGAAGAACUAAUCAAUUAAUCAAACAGAAAAUCAAUUUAUCAAGACACACUCUUGUUAAUUGAGAACAACAAGCUAAUAGCUACACCCAAAAGCCAAACAGAAAGUCAACAAAAAUUGAACAAACUCAUGGCUAAAUCCAAAAGCCAAAACUCAAAAUCCAUGAUCACUCAAGAAAGGAAGGCAUGGAGGAGGUAGUUGUGUCGAUGCGCGAGGGACUGUGAGUGGAUGAGUGCAUGCAUGGCGUCGUCGAGGAUCUUAAUAUGUGGGUCACUGCUCAAACAUUGAGCAUGAGGGUCAUUACUUAUCCAAAGAAGAAGGGAGGCAAGCUAUUAAGGAACAAAAUUGAAAUCAAGUACACUAGAGAGAGAACCGAAGGGAAGACGAUGGAAGGGUGAGGCAAGAAGAAGAAAAAGAAUAGGAAGGGAACUAAAGAAGUCGAUGGAAAUAUGAGAAAAGAACUGAAGAAGCUACUUUCUUUAAAG